GUCCCUGUAGCAUUGCGGAUAGCAAAUUGGAUUUCUAAUCCAAAGGUCGUGGGUUCAAAUACCACCAGGGAUG